UACAGAGGUCUCAACCGUUGUUCGGAUUCAUUGGGCGUAAAGAGCUCGUAGGCGGCUUGUCGCGUCGGAUGUGAAAUCCCGGGGCUCAACCCCGGAACUGCAUUCGAUACUGCCUUGCUCGAGUACUGGAGAGGAGACUGGAAUUUACGGUGUAGCAGUGAAAUGCGUAGAUAUCGUAAGGAAGACCAGUGGCGAAGGCGAGUCUCUGGACAGUUACUGACACUGAGGCACGAAGGCCAGGGGAGCAAACGGG
rnacentral:rRNA from 1 species